rnacentral:rRNA from 1 species
UCAGUAACACGUAGUCAACAUGCCCAAAGGACGUGGAUAACCUCGGGAAACUGAGGAUAAACCGCGAUAGGCCAAGGUUUCUGGAACGAGCCAUGGCCGAAAUCUAUAUGGCCUUUGGAUUGGACUGCGGCCGAUCAGGCUGUUGGUGAGGUAAUGGCCCACCAAACCUGUAACCGGUACGGGCUUUGAGAGAAGGAGCCCGGAGAUGGGCACUGAGACAAGGGCCCAGGCCCUAUGGGGCGCAGCAGGCGCGAAACCUCUGCAAUAGGCGAAAGCUUGACAGGGUUACUCUGAGUGAUGCCCGCUAAGGGUAUCUUUCGGCACCUCUAAAAAUGGUGCAGAAUAACGGGGUGGGGCAAGUCUGGUGCCAGC